CCAAUAGCGUAUAUUAAAGUUGUUGCAGUUAAAAAGCUCGUAGUUGAAUUUCGGGAUCGACGGGUCGGUCGCGCCUCUGGUGUGUACUGGCCCUGUCGGUUUCUCCCUUCUGACGAACCACGAUGUCAUUAAUUUGGUGUCGUGGGAAAUCAGGACUGUUACUUUGAAAAAAUUAGAGUGUUUAAAGCAGGCAUUCGCUUGAAUACAUUAGCAUGGAAUAAUGAAAUAGGACGUUUGAUCUUAUUUUGUUGGUUUCUAAGAUCGACGUAAUGAUUAAUAGGGAUAGUUGGGGGCAUUAGUAUUCAAUUGUCAGAGGUGAAAUUCUUGGAUUUAUUGAAGACUAACUACUGCGAAAGCAUUUGCCAAGGAUGUUUUCAUUAAUCAAGAACGAAAGUUAGGGGAUCGAAGACGAUCAGAUACCGUCGUAGUCUUAACCAUAAACUAUGCCGACUAGGGAUCGGAUGAUGUUAAUUUUUUAAUGACUCAUUCGGCGCCUUACG
rnacentral:ncRNA from 2 species